CGUUUAACACGUACAAAUAGUAAGGCUUACCAAUAAGAUUGCAAGAUAUAUGUAUUGCAGUAUUAAUUAAACCAGAUUAAACUUUACAAGAUAACCAAUAGCAAAAACAAAAUUUACGUAUAUAAUUCAAUAUACUUUAUGAUAUUUAUUUACUUUUAGGCAUAUUAAUAAAAAUUCUUCAGGAAGCAGUUAGAUACAGGAUACAGAGUUAUUCGUUUAACUCGGAGGAACCCGCGCUCGCGAGAACAUUCAAAAUGGCAACAGUGCAACAUGCAUCCGGAGUUUCUAUGAAUGUUCGAUCUCACUUUGCUUCCCAUCAUGAUGGUAAAGUUGGUUGUCGACGGUUAAAUUUUGGAAACGGUGGUAGACAAAGCACCACUACCAGUACCACUCAACAACCUUAACACAGAAAAACUGAGAUAAAUGGAAUAGAA